rnacentral:lncRNA from 13 species
AUGUACGCACACACACAGGCAUGCACGCAUACACACAUGCACACACAGACACACAUAUGCACACAUACAUGCAUGCACACACACAUGCACACGCACACACACAUGCACGCACACACACAUGCACACACAGGCAUGCACGCAUACACACAUGCAUGCACACAUACACAUAUGCACGCACACACACAUGCACACACACACAUGCACGCACAGACACAUGCACACACAGGCAUGCACGCAUACACAUAUGCACGCACACACACAUGCACACACAGGCAUGUACGCACACACACAGGCAUGCACGCAUACACACAUGCAUGCACAUAUACACAUAUGCACGCACACACAUGCACACACAGGCAUGUACGCACACACACAGGCAUGCACGCAUACACAUAUGCAUGCACAUAUACACAUAUGCACACACACACAUGCAUGCACAUAUACACAUAUGCACACAGACACACACAUGCACACACACAUGCACACACAGGCAUGUACACACACCCAGGCAUGCACGCACACACACAUGCACGCACACACACACAUGAAUGGCCACUCGACAGGGUUGCUGCAGGUGUGGGGGUCUCCUGGGUGGAGACAGAGACGUCCGUAGGGCGUGCACCUGCCUCUGUGCCUGAGGCCUUGGAAGCACUUUCUGUUUCCAAAGCUGUGCCAAAGGGGCGGGUCAACGACACUCUCCCGUCCACAACAAUUCGGAAACGUUAUCACCCUUUCUUUCGUACCCCGUUUUCCAAACUUUUCCAAAUUUGUAAGCACUCAAGUCAGACUCAAGGCAAAACACGAACAAGUGAGAGGAUGGAUUUGCUUCCAGCUGAGAGCACUCAGACCUGGAGAGACCGCACGGCAGCCAGGACGCUUCCUCAGCAGGAAAGCCCUCUGUCACUCAGCUGCACGAGGCAUGUUGGUCUCCGUGCCCAGCUGGUUUCAGGGUCAGAGAGUUCUGUUCCCAGGGAGUCACUCACGAGGCAGAGAUGGAGGAGCUGGUGA